UACCUGCAGCUCGAGUGGUAACCGCUAUUAUUGGGCCUAAAGCGUCCGUAGCCGGUUUGGUAAAUAUCUGGGUAAAUCGUGAGGCUUAACUUCACGAAUUUCGGAUAGACUGCCAGACUUGGGAUCGGGGGAGGUCAGAGGUACUCCAGGGGUAGCGGUGAAAUGUUGUAGUCCUCGGAGGACCACCGGUAGCGAAGGCGUCUGACUAGAACGAGUCCGACGGUGAGGGACGAAGCCCUGGGGCGCAAACCGGAUUAGAUACCCGGGUAGUCCAGGGUGUAAACAAUGUGGGCUUUGUAUUGGAGAUCCCACGUGGGUGUCCAGUGCAGAAGAGAAGUUGUUAAGCCCACCGCCUGGGAAGUACGGUCGCAAGGCUGAAACUUAAAGGAAUUGGCGGGGGAGCACAGCAACGGGAGGAGCGUGCGGUUU
rnacentral:rRNA from 1 species